rnacentral:rRNA from 1 species
GGACUUAGUGAUCCGGUGGCAUAAAGUGGGAUUGCCAUCGCUCAACGGAUAAAAGCUACCCUGGGGAUAACAGGCUUAUCACUCCCAAGAGUUCACAUCGACGGAGUGGUUUGGCACCUCGAUGUCGGCUCAUCGCAUCCUGGGGCUGUAGCAGGUCCCAAGGGUUGGGCUGUUCGCCCAUUAAAGCGGUACGCGAGCUGGGUUCAGAACGUCGUGAGACAGUUCGGUCCCUAUCCGGCGCGGGCGGAGGAUAUUUGAGAGGAGCUGUCCUUAGUACGAGAGGACCGGGAUGGACGAACCACUGGUGUAUCUGCUGUCGACCAACGGCAUGGCAGAGUAGCCAAGUUCGGAAGGGAUAAACGCUGAAGGCAUCUAAGCGUGAAGCCCCCCUCAAGAUGAGAUAUCCCUCCUUCGGGAGUAAGACCCCUUGAAGACUACAAGGUAGAUAGGGCAGAGAUGGAAGCAUGGCAACAUGUGCAGUUGACUGUCACUAAUAGGUCGAGGGCUUGACCAAAA